CUACGGGGUGCACCAGUGAGGAAUAUUGCACAAUGGGAGGAACCCUGAUGCAGCAACGCCGCGUGGAGGAUGACGCAUUUCGGUGUGUAAACUCCUUUUAUAUGUCAAGAAAAUGACGGUAGCAUAUGAAUAAGCACCGGCUAACUCCGUGCCAGCAGCCGCGGUAAUACGGAGGGUGCAAGCGUUACUCGGAAUCACUGGGCGUAAAGGACGCGUAGGCAGGUUGGAAAGUCAGGUGUGAAAUCCUACAGCUUAACUGUAGAACUGCACUUGAAACUUCUAAUCUAGAGUAUGGGAGGGGGAGAUGGAAUUAGUGGUGUAGGGGUAAAAUCCGUAGAUAUCACUAGGAAUACCUAAAGCGAAGGCGAUCUCCUGGAACAUUACUGACGCUAAGGCGUGAAAGCGUGGGGAGCAAACAGGAUUAGAUACCCUCGUAGUC
rnacentral:rRNA from 1 species